CAGGUGGUCAGGUAGAGAAUACCAAGGCGCUUGAGAGAACUCGGGUGAAGGAACUAGGCAAAAUGGUGCCGUAACUUCGGGAGAAGGCACGCUGAUAUGUAGGUGAAGCCCCUGCGGGUGGAGCUGAAAUCAGUCGAAGAUACCAGCUGGCUGCAACUGUUUAUUAAAAACACAGCACUGUGCAAACACGAAAGUGGACGUAUACGGUGUGACGCCUGCCCGGUGCCGGAAG
rnacentral:rRNA from 2 species